rnacentral:rRNA from 1 species
AACGUACGCUGGCGGCACGCCUAACACAUGCAAGUCGAACGAAGUAGCAAUACUUAGUGGCAGACGGGUGAGUAACAUGUAGGUAUCUGCCCUUUGGCCUGGAAUAACACGAGGAAACUUGUGCUAAUACCGGAUAAGUCUUUACGGAGAAAGCUUUAUGCACCAUUGGAUGAGCCUGCACUUGAUUAGUUUGUUGGUGGGGUAAUGGCCUACCAAGACUGUGAUCAAUAGCUGAUUUGAGAGGAUGAUCAGCCACAUUGGGACUGAGACACGGCCCAAACUCCUACGGGAGGCAGCAGUGGGGAAUCUUGCACAAUGGAGGAAACUCUGAUGCAGCGAUGCCGCGUGAGUGAAGAAGGCCCUUGGGUUGUAAAGCUCUUUCGUCGGGGAAGAAAAUGACUGUACCCGAAUAAGAAGGUCCGGCUAACUUCGUGCCAGCAGCCGCGGUAAUACGAAGGGACCUAGCGUAGUUCGGAAUUACUGGGCUUAAAGAGUUCGUAGGUGGUUGAAAAAGUUAGUGGUGAAAUCCCAGAGCUUAACUCUGGAACUGCCAUUAAAACUUUUCAGCUAGAGUAUGAUAGAGGAAAGCAGAAUUUCUAGUGUAGAGGUGAAAUUCGUAGAUAUUAGAAAGAAUACCAAUUGCGAAGGCAGCUUUCUGGAUCAUUACUGACACUGAAG